rnacentral:rRNA from 1 species
UACGUAGGGCGCAAGCGUUAUCCGGAAUUAUUGGGCGUAAAGAGCUCGUAGGCGGUUUGUCGCGUCUGCCGUGAAAGUCCGGGGCUCAACUCCGGAUCUGCGGUGGGUACGGGCAGACUAGAGUGAUGUAGGGGAGACUGGAAUUCCUGGUGUAGCGGUGAAAUGCGCAGAUAUCAGGAGGAACACCGAUGGCGAAGGCAGGAUCGUCGUGGCUGACAACAUGACGCUGAGGAGCGAAAGCGUGGGGAGCGAACAGG